AUAUCUCUCUGUACGGGAAGGAUGAGAAGCUUCGACUAAGGUUCGAUUCGAGCGAAGCGAGAAAGCGUUGCCAACGGCAACGACCCGAAGGGCGAAGCGCGCAGCGCUGAGUAAUCCUUCCCCCACCACCA
rnacentral:sRNA from 1 species